CUCAAGGCGGGAACGGGGCGGCUGGCGCUUGGCGAUCAGCUUUAUGAUGAAAAAAUCAUUAAUCGCCCCCGGGUAUUUCAGUGGCUGCUGCGCGUGGAGCCUGAGUUAUCGCACUUUAAAGCGGGAACUUACCGUUUUACGCCGGGGAUGACCGUACGGGAGAUGCUUGAGUUGCUGGAGAGCGGCAAAGAAGCGCAAUUCCCGUUGCGGUUUGUGGAAGGGAUGCGCCUUAGCGAUUACCUGAAACAGUUACGAGAGGCGCCGUAUAUUCGCCAUACAUUGCCGGAUGAUG
rnacentral:misc_RNA from 1 species